CAAGGGCCCAAACCUCAAUGAAUUCUUUUUUAUUUUUAGGAGGUACUGGGGAUGGCACCUGGGACCUUGUUCACACAAAGUAAAUGCUCAACCACUGAGCUACACCUGCUCCUGAAUUCUCUUUUAGAAUCAGCUUUUCCAUCUUUAACAACUACUAUAGGGCCUCUGAGGAGGACAAGCCAGACCUGUGGUCCUCCCCUUGGAAAACUCCCUGCACAACUCUGUCAAUCUGUAAUCCAUCUUACCCCAGAUGGUCGUUUCUGGAGCCCAGGAGUGUCCAGCACUGGCAUCGUCGUCGACAAAAGGAAGGCACAAGGAAACCCAAGGGUCGAUGCAUUCCAAAAGAAACUUCUGAUCAUGUAUGGAUUUCACCUAGUUCUGACUUGAAAUGAACACUUUUCCUCCUCACUCCAGUAGCAUAGCUAGAAAGUUUUACACUCUGUCAGGCAGGGACUACAAUCACUAAUCCGAAGCAGAUACAGAAAACCACUCUUAAAAGCUCCCCUUAACAUUAAGGGUGUACAACUCACUCAGGCAGGUGUAUGGGGGGAUUGAGGCAGGAUAGAAUAGGGACCUGAGGAGGAGGGGCAGAAAACCCCAAGUGCAAAUUCACAAAGCACAAACAUCCUUAUCAGAAUGCAAAUUGCAAUAUUUUUGCACAGCAGAAAGAAGGAAACACAAGAAGCACCCCCCACCCACCUACUUUCAUAAAUCUCUCACCCAGUAAACACACAGGAGGGCUCAUAGACAGUGACCAGAGGCCAAUCACCAAUGGUCAACACACCCUGCAGGGUUGUGGACAGCAAUCAGAAGCCAACUGUCACCAAACAAUCCCUAGAAACCAAACCACUCAAUGAGUUUCCCUGCUUUGUUGUAAUACACCAGUCAGUGUGGACCCUAACCCCAUAUGAUAACCAAUAAAACCAGAAAACCCUAGAGAGGGAGCAUGUGUCUCUUCCUUGAGCAUGCCCACACUCAUGCCUGAGUGUGUACUUUCUCCUCAU
rnacentral:lncRNA from 1 species